GGAAAUGUGGCUCAGUGGGAGAGCUCUUGCCUAGGAUGUGGGAGGCCCUGGGUUUGAUCCCCAGCACUA
rnacentral:tRNA from 1 species